UACGAAGGGGGCUAGCGUUGCUCGGAAUCACUGGGCGUAAAGCGCACGUAGGCGGAUCUUUAAGUCAGGGGUGAAAUCCUGGAGCUCAACUCCAGAACUGCCUUUGAUACUGGGGAUCUCGAGUCCGGAAGAGGUGAGUGGAACUCCGAGUGUAGAGGUGAAAUUCGUAGAUAUCGGGAGGAACACCAGUGGCGAAGGCGACUUCCUGGCCUGUUCUUGACGCUGAGGCGCGAAAGCUAGGGGAGCAAACGGG
rnacentral:rRNA from 1 species